rnacentral:rRNA from 1 species
UCGGAAUUAUUGGCGUAAAGAGAGAGUAGGCGGCUGGAUCCGUCAGAUGUGAAAUGCGUUGGGCUUAACCCAGGACGUGCAUUUGAAACUGUCCGGCUGGAGUAGGGAGAGGAAAGUGGAAAUUCCGGUGUAGAGGUGAAAUUCGUAGAUAUCAGGAGGAACACCGGUGGUGAAGGCGACUUUAUGGCCUUAUACUCACGCUGAGACGUGAGAGCGUGGGUAGCAAACAGGAUUAGAUACCCUGGUAGUCCACGCUGUAAACGAUGAUCACUAGGUGUUGGGGGUAUUGACCCUCUCAGUGCCGCAGGUAAGGCACUAAGUGAACCGCAUGGUGAGUACGGUCGCAAGAUUAAAACUCAAAGGAAUUGACGGGGUCCCGCACAAGCGGUAGAGCAUGUGGCUUAAUACGAUGCAACGAGAAGAACGUUACAUAGGCUUGACAUCCCCGGAAUUUUGUGGAAACACAAAAGUGCCUUUCGGGGAACCAGGAGACAGUAGGGGCAUGGCUGUCGUCAGCAUGUGUCGCGCGAUGUUGGGUUAAGUCCCGCAACGAGCGCAACCCUUAUCAGUAAUUGCCAUCAUUCAGUUGGGCACAGUAAAGAGACUGCCGGUGUUAAACCGGAGGAAGGUGGGGAUGAUACCAAGUCCUCAUGGCCUUCAUGGUUAGCAGUACACACGCCUACAAUGGGUGGUGCAAAGAGACGCAAACUCGCGAGAGCCAGCUAAUCUCAAAAAGCCAUCCUCAGCUUUGACCGGAGGUGUUAACUCGACUCCAUGAAGUUGGAAUCCGCUAGUACCGGGAAUUCCAC